AUAAAUUGAUUUUUUGGCAGGACUUGUUUAACGGGAUGGAUUUUUGAAUCAACAUCGAAAAACAAAUAAAAUAUUAUUAAUUUGUUGCUUCGAUACAGGUUAAAUCUGUAUAAUUUAGAGAAGAUUGUAUAAAGAAAAAUUCUUUCUAAUGCCCUUUUCAUGAUGCCCCUUUUAAACUCUACCCUUUUGUUUUAUCCAUUUUCAUUUCUACCCUCUUUAAAUUUUUAAUGACCAUUUUACCCCUAUUUGAAAAUUGUUUUAGGUUAACAAAAUGAAAUAUUAAUCGUUUUCGCCUAAAAUAUUCCAAAACAAAUUUCCCGCCAAAAUUUUUCGAAAAAACAAAUUUCCCGCCAAAAUUAUUUUUUCAAAAAUAAAUUCCCGCAGAACAAACUUUUUCGCGGGAAAAAUAUUUACAAGGGAUUUUAAAAUGAUUUUAAAAUAUUUACAAGGAAUUUUAAAAGGAAGACUUACAAUGGAUUUUAAAAGGUUUAUAAAAGAUUUACAAGGGAUUUGAAAAGAGUUUUAAAAGAUUUACAAGAAAUUUUAAAAAGGUUUUAUAAGAUUUGCAAGGGAUUUUAAAGGGAUUUAAAAGAUUUACAAAAGUUUUUUAAAGGUUUAAAAUUGUUUUAAAAGGAUUUUAAAAUAUUUACAAGGGAUUUUAAAAGGGUUUUAAAAUAUUUACAAGGGAUUUUAAAAGGGUUUUAAAAUAUUUACAUAUGUUUUUU
rnacentral:sRNA from 1 species